rnacentral:rRNA from 1 species
GUCCAUGGCCAUGCCACCCUGAACAAGCCUGAUGUCUGAUCUUGGAAGCUAAGCAGGGUUGGGUCUGGUUAGCACUUAGAUGGGAGACCACCUAGGAAGUCUAGGUGCUGUUGCCA